rnacentral:snoRNA from 1 species
UGGCUGUAGCUAAAUUCAUUCGAUUGUGAAGUUAACUGGCCGGUUGUUGUUCUCUCCUGUCGACAAAUCUGCUUACCGAACUUCACACAUUU